GGACUACCGGGGUUUCUAAUCCCGUUCGCUCCCCUAGCUUUCGCGCCUCAGCGUCAGGUUCUUCCCAGGAUGCUGCCUUCGCCUUUGGUGUUCUUCCAGAUCUCUACGCAUUUCACCGCUCCACCUGGAAUUCCACAUCCCUCUGAAGUCCUCAAGUCCUGCAGUUUUCCAAGGCCUGUGGGAGUUAAGCCCCCACCUGUCACUCGAAACUUACCAGACCGCCUACGCGCUCUUUACGCCCAAUAAAUCCGGACAACGCUUGCCCCCUACGUAUUACCGCGGCUGCUGGCAC
rnacentral:rRNA from 1 species